UUUUUGUUUAAUAUAUAAUAAUUUAUUUUAUUAUUUAAUUUUAUUUAAUUAAAAAAGAUAUAUGAAUUUUUUUUAUAGUUUAAAAAAUUCUUAAUGAAUAUAAAUUAAUUCUCAGUAUUGAGUAUUAAAUAUUAAAGAAAUUUAGAUUUAAUUAUUAAUUUUAAUAUAAACUAAAUAUGUGCCAGCAGUUGCGGUUAAACAUAGUAUAUAAAUAAAAUAGUUUGGUGUAUAGUAUUAAUUAAUUUUAAUAAAUUAAUUUUUUAUUUAAGGUAAAAUUUAAGUUAAAAGUUAAAUUUAUAAUUAUUUUAUUCUAUUAAAUUUUAGUUUAAACUAGGAUUAGAUACCCUAUUAUAAAAAUGUAAAUUUUAUUACUAAAAAAUUAUUAGUUAUGUUCUUUAAAUUUAAAAAAUUUGGCGGUAUUUUAGUCUUAUUAGAGGAACCUGUUGUAUAAUUGAUAAUCCACGAUUAAUUUUACUUAUUUUUAUUAAUUUAUAUAUCGCUGUCAUGAAUAUAUUAAAAAAUUAAUUUUCUUUAAGUUAUUUUUAUAAUUUAUGUUAAGUCAAGAUGUAGUUUAUAAAUAAGUUUUUAAUGGGUUACAUUAAAUUUAAUUUAUGGAUUUUAAAUGAAAAUAAUAAUGAAAUUGGAUUUAAUAGUAAAUUUAAUUAUUUUAUUAAUAUGAAUAAAGAUCUAAAAUAUGUACAUAUUGCCCGUCAUUCUUAUUAAAAGUAAGACAAGUCGUAACAAAGUAAAUGUACUGGAAAGUGUAUUUAGAAAGUU
rnacentral:ncRNA from 1 species